CAGCCGCCGCGGAAUACGAAGGGUGCAAGCGUUACUCGGAAUUACUGGGCGUAAAGCGUGCGUAGGUGGUGGUUUAAGUCCGUUGUGAAAGCCCUGGGCUCAACCUGGGAAUUGCAGUGGAUACUGGGUCACUAGAGUGUGGUAGAGGAUAGUGGAAUUUCCGGUGUAGCAGUGAAAUGCGUAGAGAUCGGAAGGAACAUCUGUGGCGAAGGCGACUAUCUGGGCCAACACUGACACUGAGGCACGAAAGCGUGGGGAGCAAACAGGAUUAGAUACCCCGGUAGUCCCUGUCUCUUAUACA
rnacentral:rRNA from 1 species